rnacentral:rRNA from 1 species
GACGAACGCUGGCGGCGUGCUUAACACAUGCAAGUCGAACGGAAAGGCCCUGCUUGCAGGGUACUCGAGUGGCGAACGGGUGAGUAACACGUGGGUGAUCUGCCCUGCACUUCGGGAUAAGCCUGGGAAACUGGGUCUAAUACCGGAUAGGAGCCAUUUUUAGUGUGAUGGUUGGAAAGUUUUUUCGGUGUAGGAUGAGCUCGCGGCCUAUCAGCUUGUUGGUGGGGUAAUGGCCUACCAAGGCGGCGACGGGUAGCCGGCCUGAGAGGGUGGACGGCCACAUUGGGACUGAGAUUAGGCCCAGACUCCUAAGGGGGGCAGGAGUGGGGAAUAUUGCCCAAUGGGCGCCAGCCCUGUGCAGCGGCGCCGCGUGGGGGAUUACGGGCUUCGGGUUGUAAACUUCUUUCGCUAGGGACGAAGCUUUUUGUGACGGUACCUAGAUAAGAAGCACCGGCUAACUACGUG